rnacentral:sRNA from 1 species
GCUGGGUCUGAUGGCUCAUGCCUGUAAUCCCAGUGACUCAGGAGGCUGAGGCAAGAGGAUUGCAAUUUUGAGACUGACCUCAGCAAUUUAGUGAGGCCCUAAGCUUAGUGAGACCCUGUCUCAA